UGCAACUGUGUGCAUAAACAUAACCUAUAAACUCCCAUAAGUAAAAUGGCAGUCUUUGCGAAAGUUUUACAACUUUCGAAAAGUAUAAAUAAUGUGACAAAGUUAUUAACAAAUUCGUCUUUAUGUUCGAAUGUAAACCCCAUCUUGAAUCCAACAUGUAUUCGACGAGUAUCUACCUCCCAAUGUGCAUUCAUUCAUACUACAUCUAAACGAAAUGAUUUAAUGGAAUUUUUUGAUGAUAAAAAGAAUUGGGGAAGGAAGGAAGUAAAGGUAGGACGUUCUUGGCUAAAAGAUGAAUUAAGAUUAAAGAGCAAUGAAGAUCUUCAUAAGUUAUGGUUUGUGUUGCUGAAAGAACACAAUAUGCUUCUAACAAUGGAAGAAGCUUAUAAACAGGAAUAUGAAUACUUUCCCAAUCCUGAAAGAAUUGAUAAAGUGUUAGACAGCAUGUCAAAUUUGGAGUCUGUGGUUCGUGAAAGAAAUCAGGCAUAUUACAAUCUUGAAACUGGAACAUGCGGGGAACGUCCUGCAAGAAUGGCGUACAAUGCUAUUGGUAUGCGUUAUUUCUAUAAAAUGCGGCAAUAUCAUAUACCAAAGUUUAUGAAUAAAAAGUGGCACAAAAAACACGUGUUCGGUUAUGGUGGACAUGCCGUUUCCAAAUUUUUACGAUUCUACAGAGAGAAACUUUGGAACGUGAAACGUAGAGCACAAAACCGAGAUCGUAAUCGUGUGGCGGCUCUGAUGCGAAGGUUCCCGAAUCUCGAUCUUGGAGCUGCGAAAAAACAGUAUCCAGGGGCAAAUAUAAGUAAAUUGAAGAUGUCAAGAAACGCAGUUUCACAUUUGCAACCUGAAUAAAUGCAGUUUUUCAUUAGAUAAUAUAUGAAGAAGCAUUUUCCAUACUGCAUAGGAUGAAUCUUGAAGCUACUGGCAUCGGUUUCAUUCGCAAGAUCCAUAUCACUGUCGAAUGCAACGCCACUGUCACCGGGAGAAGCUAAACUCGAGGAUACGCUGGAUGAUCUAAGGUGUAACGAUAAUAUAGUUCCGGA